CCUACGGGGGGCAGCAGUGGGGAAUAUUGGGCAAUGGGCGCAAGCCUGACCCAGCAACGCCGCGUGAAGGAAGAAGGCUUUCGGGUUGUAAACUUCUUUUCUCAGGGACGAAGCAAGCGACGGUACCUGAGGAAUAAGCCACUGCUAACUACGCGCCAGCCGCCGCGGUACUACGUAGGCGGCAAGCGGUAUCCGGAUUUACUGGGUGUAAAGGGCGUGUAGGCGGGAAAGCAAGUCAGUGGUGAAAACCAUGGGCUCAACCGGUGAACUGCAUGUGAUACUGUUUUUCUUGAGUGCUGGAGAGGCAGACGGAAUUCCUAGUGUAGCGGUGAAAUGCGUAGAUAUUAGGAGGAACACCAGUGGCGAAGGCGGUCUGCUGGACAGCAACUGACGCUGAGGCGCGAAAGCGUGGGGAGCAAACAGGAUUAGAUACCCUGGUAGUC
rnacentral:rRNA from 1 species